CCUUCUCUCUAAAUUCGGUUCACCCUCUCUUUCUCUCUCUCUAGAGUGUAGAAUCUGAUUUGAGCUCAAAAUAUAUGAGCUUAAGCACACUUAGCUCAUUUAUAUAGGCUUUCCUUAAUCAUACUUAAUUAAAACUAAUCAAUGGUGUUUAAUUAAUUCAAUUUAAACUAAUUAAUUCUCUUCAAAUCAGUUUUCAGUUAAAUUUCACCGUAGGCUCUAAAAAUUAUGCUAAUCACGAUGGUACAAUCAAUUUUGGUUUUUGACGCCUCUACGACCCUCAAUUCAAAUUUUACAACAGAAAAUCAAACUAAUUUUCUUGCGGUAAAUAGAUAGAAAUUCACAAACGCAUAUAAGCAUAUCAUUAGCAUUCAAAAUCAUGCCGAGUUCAUAAUUAUAGGCAUAAUCAAGAUUAUUAGCAUAACACGGAGUUGGGUUGUCAUAGAUAGAAUGUAAAGCCUCUUGGUCCUGGUUUCCUGAGGAAUUAAUGAGUGAUAUUGGGAGUGUUGAGGAGAUGUAGUGGACAUUUAUAUCAGAUAGACAGAAGGGGCUGGUUGAAACAUUUGCAGAGUUAUACCUACUGUAGAUCACAGAUACUGCCUGAGACAUAUGUCUAGUAACUUCAAGACAAAAUACAGUGGUUGUGUGUUGAAAUACCUGUUCUAGAAAGCUGCAUCAACUGGAAAUGUGCAUGAAUUCAAUUAUUGGAUUAAAAAGAUUGAAGAAGUUGAUCCUAAGACUGGAAAUAGGAAGACAACAAUGGAAUGGUUGAGGGAGACUAACCCUGAUUUGUGGGCAAGGUCACAUUUUUCUCCAAAGAGCAAUUGUGACAUCCUUGUGAACAAUUUGAGUGAGUCAUUCAAUUCUUACAUCCUAGAAGCUAGAGAGCUACCAAUAAUCUCCAUGUUGGAAUGGAUCAAAAGGAAAUUGAUGCAAAAGGAUUCAAGUUAAAAAGGCUGGAAUGGAAAAAUACAGUGGUGAGAUUUAUCCCAAUAUUCAUGACAAACUUGAGAAGUUGAAGGUGAAAUCAAGGAACUGCUUUGCAACCUGGUGUGGACAAUUGGAAUUUGAGGUUGAUCAUUUUCAGAGGAGGUACACAGUGGACCUAAGUACUAGGACAUGCAGUUGUAAGAGAUGGGAUUUGUUUGGUUUGCCUUGUAGUUAUGUCAUCAGUGCCAUUCAAAUCAAUCAUGAGCAUCCAGAAACCUAUGUGCAUGAGUAUUACAACAAGUCUAGGUACUUGGAUACUUAUGCAUUUAUGAUACACCCAGUUCCAGACAUGUAUGAGUAUGAGGAAGUUGGCCGGAAAUUGAAUCCACCAGGAGCAAAGAAAUUAGUAGGCAGACCAAAGAAGUUAACAAAUAGACAGGCAGAUGAGCCAAGAAAUCCACACAAGGCAUCAAGGAAGAACAUCAAUGUGACAUGUGCUAAGUGUCUGUAGAAGGGGCACAAUCAGAGGUCAUGCAAAAAAAAACUGCAUCCUAAGUCCAAAAUGGUGAAGCAGAGAUGUACUAGUGGGCAAUCAUCUCAACCUACAUCAACUCCUACUCUUGCUUCAACAACAAACAUCCCAUCAAAUGAGUAACAGCCAAACUAGAAGAGGAGGCCAAGCAGCAUCUCAGCCACCAAUGAGUACUACUUCCAUUGGACUGAAGAGGAGGAGUACUAGGUCAUCUACUCAGUCCCACAAAACUACCAACUUAUGGUGAAAAGGCAUCAAAUGGUCUUGGCAAAGGACCUGAAAUCAUAGUUGGUGUGAGGGGUAGAGGACCAAUUAAUGCAUCUACAUCUGCAGUCAAUGUUGGAAGAACUGGAGUGAAUGCUAAUGUCAGAGGGCAUGCUGUUUCAAUAACUUCUGUACUAGAGACAAUCAAAGCAAGGAGAUUGGACAAAGAACUGGCAACUGGGUCAAAGUAGACUAUAGGAUUACUUGUUAUUAUUUAUGUUUUUGUAAUGAAACAAUACUGUGGGAUGUGUUGUGUUUGUAUUUAAGCUAAGGAAGAAUAGACACACAUUUAGAGUUAUGGUUUUUGAGAAUGGUUUUCAAAUGCAGCAUACUUCUGUAAAUGGAUUGGUAUUGAAUAGCAUUGUCAGCAUACUUUUGUAAAUGGAUUGGUAUUGAAUAGCAUUGUCAAUCUUAGUUUUUUUCUUUUUCUUUUUUGUUCCUUUGUCGAUCUCAGUUUU